GUAAAUAAUUAAGGGCGUAUGGUGGAUGCCUAGGCUCUCAGAGGCGAUGAAGGACGUGAUAAGCUGCGAAAAGCUCCGUUUAGGUGCAAAUAACCUUUGAUGCGGAGAUCUCCGAAUGGGAUAACCCAAUAUGUUGAAGACAUAUUAUACCGUAAGGUAGGCAAACGCAGGGAACUGAAACAUCUAAGUACCUGCAGGAGAAGAAAACAAAAGUGAUUCCCCCAGUAGCGGCGAGCGACCGGGGAUAAGCCCAAACCGUUAUUGUUUCGGCAGUAGCGGGGUAGUAGGACUGCGACAUUGAUGAAAUAAAUGAAAUGGAACACUUUGGAAAAUGUGAUCACAGAGGGUGAUAAUCCCGUACAUGCAAGUUUAUGAAUCAUAGCAGACUCCUGAGUAAGUCGGGACACGUGUAAUCCUGACCGAAUCCGCCGGGACCAUCCGGCAAGGCUAAAUACUCCUGAGAGACCGAUAGUGAACCAGUACCGUGAGGGAAAGGUGAAAAGCACUUCGAACAGAAGAGUGAAAUAGUCCCUGAACCCAUACGCCUACAAGCUGUCGGAGCCGCUUCGUGCGGUGACGGCGUGCCUUUUGCAUAAUGAGCCUACGAGUUACUCAUCACCAGCGAGGUUAAGUACUUCAGGUACGUAAGCCGAAGCGAAAGCGAGUCUGAAUAGGGCGUCAAGUUGGUGGUGGUAGACGCGAAACCUUAGUGAUCUACCCAUGGGCAGGGUGAAGGUUUGGUAACACAAACUGGAGGCCCGAACCGGUAAACGUUGAAAAGUUUUCGGAUGACCUGUGGGUAGGGGUGAAAGGCCAAUCAAACUGGGAAAUAGCUCGUACUCUCCGAAAUGCAUUUAGGUGCAGCCUCUGUUGUUUUGUUCUAGAGGUAGAGCUACUGAUUGGAUGCGAGGGCUUCACCGCCUAUCAAAUCCGGCCAAACUCCGAAUGCUAGAACAUGAAGACAGGGAGUGAGCCAGCGGGUGCUAAGGUCCGUUGACGAAAGAGGGAGAACUCAGACCAUCAGCUAAGGUCCCCAAUUAUAUGCUAAGUUGGAAUUAAAACGGGGUGGGACUGCUUAGACAGCUAGGAUGUUGGCUUGGAAGCAGCCAUUCAUUUAAAGAGUGCGUAACAGCUCACUAGUCGAGCGGUCCUGCAUGGAUAAUACGCGGGCAUAAGCAUAUAACCGAAGCUAUGGGAUUGUAGAUGAUACAAUCGGUAGGAGAGCAUUCCAUUCAGCGUAGAAGCAGUACCGUGAGGUAUUGUGGAGCGGAUGGAAAAGCAAAUGUAGGCAUAAGUAACGAUAAUGCGGGUGAGAACCCCGCACGCCGAAAGAUCAAGGAUUCCCCGGCAAUGUCAAUCAUCCGGGGGUAAGUCGGAUCCUAAGGGUAAGCCGAGUGGCGAUCCCGAUGGCAAACAGGUUAAUAUUCCUGUACUGAUCAUAACUGCGAUGCAGCGACGCAGAGGUGACACUGCUGCGUACUGACGGAAUAGUACGUUGAAACCCGUAUUCUUUGAUACCGGUAGUGAAGCACGCCGGUAGAGAUGAAAGGUGAUAGUACCGCAAUGCUUCGGUUGCGCGGAUAACGCAGGUAAGCUGACUGCCAAGAAAACCUGCUAAGCUUCAGGUAAUGAUCAUCCGUACUGUAAACGGACACACGUGAUCAGGUAGAAAAUACUAAGGCGCUCGAGAGAUUCAUGGUUAAGGAACUAGGCAAAAUGGUCCUGUAACUUCGGGAUAAAGGACGCUCUUGUGAAAGAGCCGCAGAUAAUAGGCCCAGGCGACUGUUUACCAAAAACACAUGGCUAUGCUAAUUCGCAAGAAGAUGUAUAUGGCCUGACACCUGCCCGGUGCCGGAAGGUUAAGAGGAGAGCUCAGAGGUAACUCGAAGGUUUGAAUUGAAGCCCCGGUAAACGGCGGCCGUAACUAUAACGGUCCUAAGGUAGCGAAAUUCCUUGUCGGGU
rnacentral:rRNA from 1 species